rnacentral:sRNA from 1 species
UCAAAAUUUGAAUGCCUGCGCGCGCACU